GAUGAACGCUGGCGGCGUGCCUAAUACAUGCAAGUCGAGCGAACAGACGAGGAGCUUGCGCCGCGGUCGUGAGCGGAGCAGGGGUGAGAAACACGUGUAUAACCUACCUGUAAGACUGGGAUAAUUUCGGGAAACCGGAGCUAAUACCGUAUAAUAUAUUGAAGCGCAGGGUUGAAUAGUGAAAGACGGUUGUUGGGUCAGUUAUAGAGGGAUCCGCGCCGCAUGAGCUAGUUGGUAAGGUAACGGCUUAUCAAGGCAAGGAUGCGUAGCCGAACUGAGAGGGUGGUCGGCCACACUGGAAGUGAGACACGGUCCAGACUCCUACGGGAGGCAGCCGUAGGGAAUCGUGCGCAAUGGGCGAAGACCUGACGGAGCAACGCCGCGUGAGUGAUGAAGGUCUUCGGAUCGUAAAACUCUGUUAUCAGGGAAGAACAAAUGUGCAAGUAACUAUGCACGUCUGGACGGUACAUAAUCAGAGAGCCACGGCUAAAUACGUG
rnacentral:rRNA from 1 species